rnacentral:rRNA from 1 species
UAGUGGCAGACGGGUGAGUAACAUGUGGGUAUCUACCCUUUGGCCUGGAAUAACACGAGGAAACUUGUGCUAAUACCGGAUAAGUCUUUACGGAGAAAGCUUUAUGCACCAUUGGAUGAGCCCGCACUUGAUUAGUUUGUUGGUAGGGUAAUGGCCUACCAAGACUAUGAUCAAUAGCUGAUUUGAGAGGAUGAUCAGCCACAUUGGGACUGAGACACGGCCCAAACUCCUACGGGAGGCAGCAGUGGGGAAUCUUGCACAAUGGAGGAAACUCUGAUGCAGCGAUGCCGCGUGAGUGAAGAAGGCCUUUGGGUUGUAAAGCUCUCUCGUCGGGGAAGAAAAUGACUGUACCCGAAUAAGAAGGUCCGGCUAACUUCGUGCCAGCAGCCGCGGUAAUACGAAGGGACCUAGCGUAGUUCGGAAUUACUGGGCUUAAAGAGUUCGUAGGUGGUUG